rnacentral:lncRNA from 9 species
UAAGCAUUUUUCACUCUGAGAGUGUCACUAUUCUUAUUCUUCAAUACCCUCUUUCCUAAGGACCAAGGGUCAAAAUCAAAAAAAUUGAAUCCUUUGCAAAAUAAUGGGAAUUACUACACUCAAGGAUGAGGAACUUGAGGAACUAAUGACCCAACUGUCAGCGGAUGGUGAUAGUACUGUUGGUCUGAAUGAUUUAAUGGGUGCUAUCGGUUACACCAAGGGUAAGUUGCAAGCUGUGAUGAAAAGAUACUAUAAAUAGCAUCUUAAUAUUUUGCAAUUGGUAGAAAGCAAAUAUCCCCUUCACAAAUGUUUAAAUUCUUUCACAUAUGUUCCAUUUUUGGAGUUCUGUCAUGGCACAGCAGUUAAUGAAUCCGACUAGGAACCAUGAGGUUGUGGGUUUCAAUUCCUGGCCUUGCUCAGUGGGUUAAGGAUCUGACAUUGCCGUGAGCUGUGGUGUAGGUCACAGAUGCGGCUCGAUCCCGUGUUGCUGUGGCUCUGGUGUAGGCUGUGGCUACAGCUCUGAUUAGACCCCUAGCCUGGGAACCUCCAUAUGCCAUGGGAGCGGCCCUAGAAAAGGCAAAAAGACAAAAAUAUAUAUAUAUAUGUUCCAUUUUUGAGGAUGUUGCUGAAACAGGAUAAACAAUAAUCUGUGUUUAUGUAUCAAUACCCAUAAUAUUCUCUGAAAUUUUCCCUGAAAGAAGUCUUCAAUAUAGUAACAGAUCUCAAGAGCCAGAGACUGGAGUUCUCUGGAGGCCUAGCAGUUAAGGACUGGACACUGAACUGCUGUGGCUUGGGUUACUGCUGUGGCUCUGUUUGAUCCCUGACCCAGGAACUGGUGCGGCCAAAAAAAAAAAAAAGAGUUAUUCCUUUUCUCCACUAACCCCAAUCCUAGAAACUUAUCCUCUGGAAAUAGUUUAACUGAAUAAAAGAAAAAAAAAUCUCUGCACAAAGACCUUCAGAGAAAUUUGAAACAGCCUAAAAUGUCUGACAGAAUGAGAAUUACCACAUAAACCAUGGCAUGUCAGGCUAAUGGGAUAUCACAUGCUGUAAAGAUUAUGUAGCAACUUGGAACAUGUUUAUGAAGUAAUUAUAUUACGCUGGAAAAGCUGAAUACAAAAUUGUGUGUAUAGGAGUUCCCUUUAUGGCUCAGUGGAAACGAACCCAACUAGUACACAUGAGGACUCAAGUGCAAUUCCUGGCUUUGCUCAGUGGGUUAAGGAUCUGGUAUUGCUGUGAGCCAUGGUGUUGGUCAAAGACGCGGCUCAGAUCUGGCACUGCUGUGGCUGUAGCAUAGGCUGGCAACUGCAGCUCCAGUUCAACCCCUAGCCUGGGAACUUCCAUAUGGCACCAGUACGGCCAUAAAAGAAAAAAAAUUGUGUGUAUAUUAAAUCUCCACAUUAUGAAAGUACAACCUUAUUGCCAAGGGCAGAAAUGGAAUAUGAAAAACUAAAAACAUUUUUCAUGAUAGGGUGGUGAAUUAUAUUUUUCCCAUUUUAAAAUAAUUUUAAACAUUGUUACACUAUUUUUACAAUGAAU